CUAGGCUCGGCGGAGAGCGAGUCGGCGUGAAUGAGAGCAAACCAACAGGGCUGUGCGUGGCGCGUAAAGAAGUGUUGAAGAAGAGAGAGACAGAAGAAAAUCACCAUAAAAAGUCAGACACGAGAGCUUAGAAGUCAAUUAAGACAGGGCUUGGAAGGGGCAUUAGGAAUUCUGUGCUCAAGAAUUUUUGCAUCCAUCAAAUCCUAGAAAUUAGAGUCCGCACAUUACUACCAGGUUUUUGGGGAACCGGUGUUACAUGAAGGUGCUGUUAACACUGGGAGUAGUGCUUUCUCUUAUUGAGAAAAAAAAAACACCUCUGUUUGCAUCUGUAGACAAAGAUCUGUUCAGAAUGGUUGGCUUUGUGAGGUGCUGUGAGACAGAGAUGAAAAAGACAAUCUUCCAAGCCUUAGGAAAAAAAUAUUAACCAACCAUCUCUAGGAAAUUGCAAAAUAGUUUCUACUUUAUCAGGAUUUCCAAUUCCAGGUGAAUAGGAUAAAGAUGAUGGUCUUUGGAGGCAAAAAAAGUGUUACUGGGAAAGAAGUGAUAACCAGACACAUUCACAUCAUUAUGCACCAUCUCUGUUCUGAUAGAGAAGCCAAAAGCACAGGGCCAAUCCUUUGCUUAAGUUAUGAGCAUGGUAUGUAUGACCUAUGUCACACAUGUUAUUUAAAAUGCACAUUUUAGCCUAUUCAAGAGUUCUUUUUCUGAAAAGUAAAUUUUAGACAUUUUUGUAAAGUCUUAGGAAAUUAAGAAAGAGGAUUUAUGAGUUAAUAUAUGUACAGCUCUUAGAAAGUACAUAUAGCUCAAAGUUCUCUGCAUUUAUUAUUAUGGUAUGUAUAAUAGUCACUGUUGACUUAGUUAACGUUAAGUAAAUAUUAAGCAUCUAUUACAUGUAAAAGGCUAUACUAUAAACUAUAUGAUUCACUUUAAAAAAUUUUUAUUGAUAGAUAAUAUUUGCACAUAUUUAUGGGGUACAUGUGAUAUCUUGUUACAUGCAUAGAAUGUGUAAUGAAAUGAAAUAUGCAUAGUAUUUUUAUUCAAGAAGUUUGCAUAUUAAUGGUAAAGAAAUUCAUAAAAAAGAAAAUUAAGAAUAUAAAGCAGUACAGUAAGUAUAUGGGGACAUCAGGAGUUGAGAGAAUAGAGAGAUCCUUGUGGCUCCAUGCAGGACAUAGAUCGGUCAGUUAUAUUGAAGGGAGAUUUUGGAAGGGAUGGCAAACAUUUCAGGAAGGAAAAGAAAAAGAAAUGAAGAUAGAACUACAUAAAAUAUUUAUAGGCUGGCUGUACUGGAGGCCAGGCUAAGAAGAUGAGAUUAGAAAGAAAUGCCAGAAUCAGAGGUCUGGACUUGAUUCCAUUUAGUCGUUGAAAUUUUCCGAGCAGGGAUAAGCCAGGAUGAUAUUUGUGUUUCAGGAGAUUAAUGUGGCAGUUAUACACAGAAAGGAUUUUAGGGAGAGACUAGAGGCUAAUAAGAUGGCUAACAGGGAAAUAGGAAAAUAGAUAGCAGUAGAAAUGGAAAGGAAAGAUGAAUGUAAUGGACAUUGUCAAAGAAGAAUGAUCAUGCUCUAUUGUGUUGAUGAGAUACUAUGUUUUGUAUACUUUGCAUAUUAAUUUCUUUCAUUUACAAAAAUUAUUUCAGAGUUCUUAAGAAUUAUGGUCAAUUUUUUAUAAACACGAAUUUUGUUUCUAUGGCUAAAUUAACUAAUGAAAAAUGAAAGAGACAGUAAUUAUAAAGUGCUUAUAAUUUGGUGCAUAUUUUGAAAGUUGGUGCUAAUAUUUGUGCUUUGGAUUAGGCCAACCACGAUUCAGUUACGGGCUUUGCAACUUACUCAUGUAAAUUUGGAAAAGGUAUCUAACUCUCUAAACUGCAUAUUUCUCAUCUGUAAAAUGCUGAUAAAACUUUUCUCAUAACCUUAUUAUAAAGAUAUAAUAUAUUUUAAAUGCCCAAGCAUACAUACAGCAUGUAAUAAUUAUGUAGUAAAUGUGAGAUGCAAUUAACGUCAGAAAACUAAGCGUAGAAAAAUAGAAAGCUGAUAUCAUUGUAAAGUCCAUUACAAUGUCUGUGUUUUGUGUGCCUGGAACACAAUAUACUUCAUUUUUCUAGGUUCAAGGACCUUGUAAUUUUUUUUUAUUUUUCUAUCAUCUCACUGAUAUCUCCAUUAAAACAUCAUUUAUUUGUUUCUUCUUUUCUCUUUGACUGCUUUCUGUUGGUAUGAUUUGGGGAUUAGCUCUCAGAUUUCUCUAUUUUACACAUUUCCUUGGUGAUCCCACUCAGAUAUUUUAUCUCCAUGGAUGAUUAAUUAUCAUCUAUGUGCGGAUAACUUCUGUGAUACUUUUAAAGAUAUAUUCUCAAAUUUUUUGAUACACCUUUUUUCAAGCAGUUGGGCUCAAUUCUACUUCUCUUUAGUGUGGGUCAACCUAUAGAUUGUGAAGACAUGUUGCGAAAAGCCCUAUAGAAAAGUCCACAGAAGUGAGGAACUGAAGCCUCCAGCCACAGUACACAUGAGUGAGUUUAGCAGUAGAUUCUCCAGCCCCAGUUAAGUCUUCUGAGACCACAUCCUAAAGACAAGUUGAUUAUAACUUCAUGAAAAACUCGAAGCCAGAGCCACCCAGCUAAGCCACGUCUGACUUUCUGACAUUCAGAAACUGCAUGAGAUAAUAAAUACUUUUGUUUUGUUUAAAGAUGCUAAGUUUGGGGAUAAUUUGUUACACAGCAAUAGGUAACCAAUGCAACCUCUGAAUUUAUAUCUCCAGCCAGACAUCUCCACUGAGCUCCAGACUUGUAUAUCCAACUGCCUACUCUCACCUCUACUUAGAUGUCUAAUAAACAUCUUGAUUUCAAUACAUUCCUGAUGGUUAACAUUAGGUAUCAACUUGACUGGAUUGAGGAAUGCCUAAAAGGCUGGUGAAUCAUUGUUCCUGGGUAUGUCUGUGAGGAUGUUUCGAGAGGAAAUUGACAUUUGAGUCAGCGGACUGAGAGAAGGAAGAUCCACCCUCAAUGUGUGUGGGCACCAUCCAAUCAGCUGCCAGCACAGCUAGAACAAAAGAGCCAAAAGAAUGGGGAUAAGCAGCUGUGGAGUCUCUUACUGUCUCUCCCUUCCCAUGCCAGAUGCUUACUUUCUCUCCUCCCGCCCUUGGACAUCAGACUUCAGGUUCUCUGACCUUUUGUACUCUGGGAUUUGCACCAGCAGCCUCCCAGCGGCUCUUGGGCCUUUGGCCUCAGACUGAAGACUACACUGUGGGCUUCCCUGCUUUUGAGGCUUUUGGACUUGGACUGAGCCCCUACCAGCUUCUGUCUCUCCAGCUUUCAGGCAGGUUACUGUGGGACUUCACCUUGUAACUGUGUGAGCCAAUUCUCCCUAAUAAACUCCCUUUUAUAUAUACAUAUAUGCUAUUAGUUCUGUCUCUCUGCAGAACCCUAAUACAAUGGCUUACAACUAAACUCAUAUUAUUUGCCCUUUCCCCAUCACCCCCAAGGCCCCAGUAUAACUUUUUCAUGCCAGUUACUGAAAACUGCUAAGUUACUAAGUCUUGAAGAAAUCCUUGACUUCUCUCUUUUAUCUUCUUUCUCCAUCUGUUGGGAAGCUUUUUGGCUCUACUUACAAACUAUUUACUGAAUUGAUAACUUUUUAACCACCUUACCUCUGCCAUUCUAUUACAAGCCAACCUGACCUCUUUCCUGGAUUAUUGUAAGAAAUUCCUAAUUGCCUCUCAGAUUCUAUCCUUGACUGCUUGUCUUACUGUAUAUUUUCAACACAGAAGGCAAAGUUAUCCUUUAAAAGCUUAUUCUUAUCCUUUGAAAAACGAGUCAGCUUUCUAGUUAUAGUAAUGAUGAAGUUUCUUGUAUUGGACUAGCCUUCCUGCAGAUAGCAAUUAUAAAUCCUAGACAAAAUAUUUUUUGUAAAGCUAUUUGAAGGCACUGGAGGGCAAUCAAAACUAGGCAGACACUGAACAAUAUUUGACACUGAAAAAAGGAAACCAUGCUGGGUGACAGCCACAUUUACAAUGAGGGGAAAUACCCAAUCAAUGAGUGGUGCAAUUGGAUACAACUAAGCAGAAGGCACAGUUUUAUCAACCUGUGAUGUUAGAGGACAGAGUUAGAGGCUAACAGAGUGAGUAGAAAUUAAUGAGAGAAAGUCCAGAAAUGAAGGAGCCACAGAAACAGGAUACCAAAAAUCUUUAAUUUAACUGCCCUCAAUCCUUUGUGUCAUUUUCUGAAAUUUAUAUAUAGGGCAUACUCUAAGGAGUCCAGGGGAAAUACAAACUUAAAGGAUAAAAAAGCUAAGCAUAGAUUUCAGCCAUUGCCUCUUGGUGGGAUGACAGUGUUUGGAGUUUGAAUCCUGAUUGAUAAACACCUCAGACUUUCAGUAAAACCCAUGAAAUACUCCAUAUUAGAUGUAAAUACUGUGUUUGUUGAUUAAGGGCUAUAGUUUAAGUGUAGGAAUAAAGGUGAAGCAGAUUGACUCUAACAAAAUAUAAAAUAAAGUCUUCAAAAAUUCAAUGUGAUUAGUCAACAAUUUAACUGGCUGCCAGAAAAAGCAAACAAAUGAACAAGCAAACAGACAAACUAACAAAAGCACCACUUCUGACAGGAAGUUAAUAGAAACCAGAGUCUCUCUCCAUAAUAUCAAGUGUGCAAGAAGGAUUCAUUAGAUAUAUGAAAAUAUAGGAAAAUGUGAGCCAUCCUCAAGAACAGAAGAAAUUAACAUACCAUGAAAAUUAGUAGACAAUUAACAGUAAAGGACUUUAAAGCAUCUAUCAUAAGGACUUAAUUUAAAAGAUGACUAUAAUAAGUGAACAGAUGGUGAGUCUCUGUAGAGAAAUGAAAACUAUAAGAAAAUCAAAUAGAAAUUCUAGAAAUAAAAAAUUUAGCAUCCAAAAUAAAAAAGUUCCAUGGAUGAAUUUAGCAGCAGAUUGAAGCCAGCAGAUAAAAAGCUGUGGUAGGCAGAAUAAUGCCGGCCCCUUCCCUCUGCCAAAGAUGUCUACACCGUAAUCUCUGGAACCUGUGCAUAUGUUACUUUACAUGGAAAAUGGAAUUUUGCAGAAGGAAUUCAGGUUGUCAACUUUAAAGUAGAGACAUUAUCCUGGAUUAUCACAUGGACCCUGAAAAGUGGAAGUAGGUCAAAGAUUUGAGAUAAUGGAAAAGGGCAGGAGAGAUUUGAAGUGCUGAGAGAGACAUGACCUUCUGUUGCUUGUUUAGAAGCUGAGGAAGUCACAUGCCAAAGCUGGCCCUCAGCUACAGUCAGCAAAGAAACAGGAAUGUCAGUUUCACAAAAUCUGGAGUCCACCAACAACCUGAAUGUGCAAGAAAACAGAUUCUUACCUGGAGCUCUCAGAAAGAAGUACUGCCUUCCCAAUUCCUUGGUUUAGCUCAGUAGAAACUGUGUCAGAUUUCUGUUCUACAAAACUAUAACAAACUUUUGUGGAUUUAAGCCUCUAAAUUUGUGGCAAUUUGUUAUGGCAUCAAUUGAAAACUAAUACAAAGGAGUCAGUAAACAUCAAAAUAGAUAAAUAUAAAGAGAAAGAAGCAAACAAAAAUUACU